CCUACGGGCGGCAGCAGUGGGGAAUAUUGGACAAUGGGGGCAACCCUGAUCCAGCCAUGUCGCGUGUGUGAAGAAGGCCCUCGGGUUGUAAAGCACUUUCAGUGAGGAAGAACGCCUGGUGGUUAAUACCCAUCAGGAAAGACAUCACUCACAGAAGAAGCACCGGCUAACUCCGUGCCAGCAGCCGCGGUAAUACGGAGGGUGCGAGCGUUAAUCGGAAUUACUGGGCGUAAAGCGCGCGUAGGUGGCUUGAUAAGCCGGUUGUGAAAGCCCCGGGCUCAACCUGGGAACGGCAUCCGGAACUGUCAAGCUAGAGUGCAGGAGAGGAAGGUAGAAUUCCCGGUGUAGCGGUGAAAUGCGUAGAGAUCGGGAGGAAUACCAGUGGCGAAGGCGGCCUUCUGGACUGACACUGACACUGAGGUGCGAAAGCGUGGGUAGCAAACAGGAUUAGAUACCCUAGUAGUC
rnacentral:rRNA from 1 species